AGAGUUUGAUCCUGGCUCAGGAUGAACGCUAGCUACAGGCUUAACACAUGCAAGUCGAGGGGCAGCAUGGUCUUAGCUUGCUAAGGCCGAUGGCGACCGGCGCACGGGUGAGUAACACGUAUCCAACCUGCCGUCUACUCUUGGACAGCCUUCUGAAAGGAAGAUUAAUACAAGAUGGCAUCAUGAGUCCACAUGUUCACAUGAUUAAAGGUAUUCCGGUAGACGAUGGGGAUGCGUUCCAUUAGAUAGUAGGCGGGGUAACGGCCCACCUAGUCUUCGAUGGAUAGGGGUUCUGAGAGGAAGGUCCCCCACAUUGGAACUGAGACACGGUCCAAACUCCUACGGGAGGCAGCAGUGAGGAAUAUUGGUCAAUGGGCGAGAGCCUGAACCAGCCAAGUAGCGUGAAGGAUGACUGCCCUAUGGGUUGUAAACUUCUUUUAUAAAGGAAUAAAGUCGGGUAUGCAUACCCGUUUGCAUGUACUUUAUGAAUAAGGAUCGGCUAACUCCGUGCCAGCAGCCGCGGUAAUACGGAGGAUCCGAGCGUUAUCCGGAUUUAUUGGGUUUAAAGGGAGCGUAGGCGGACGCUUAAGUCAGUUGUGAAAGUUUGCGGCUCAACCGUAAAAUUGCAGUUGAUACUGGGUGUCUUGAGUACAGUAGAGGCAGGCGGAAUUCGUGGUGUAGCGGUGAAAUGCUUAGAUAUCACGAAGAACUCCGAUUGCGAAGGCAGCUUGCUGGACUGUAACUGACGCUGAUGCUCGAAAGUGUGGGUAUCAAACAGGAUUAGAUACCCUGGUAGUCCACACAGUAAACGAUGAAUACUCGCUGUUUGCGAUAUACAGUAAGCGGCCAAGCGAAAGCGUUAAGUAUUCCACCUGGGGAGUACGCCGGCAACGGUGAAACUCAAAGGAAUUGACGGGGGCCCGCACAAGCGGAGGAACAUGUGGUUUAAUUCGAUGAUACGCGAGGAACCUUACCCGGGCUUAAAUUGCAACAGAAUAUAUUGGAAACAGUAUAGCCGUAAGGCUGUUGUGAAGGUGCUGCAUGGUUGUCGUCAGCUCGUGCCGUGAGGUGUCGGCUUAAGUGCCAUAACGAGCGCAACCCUUGUUGUCAGUUACUAACAGGUUCUGCUGAGGACUCUGACAAGACUGCCAUCGUAAGAUGUGAGGAAGGUGGGGAUGACGUCAAAUCAGCACGGCCCUUACGUCCGGGGCUACACACGUGUUACAAUGGGGGGUACAGAAGGCAGCUAGCGGGUGACCGUAUGCUAAUCCCAAAAGCCUCUCUCAGUUCGGAUCGAAGUCUGCAACCCGACUUCGUGAAGCUGGAUUCGCUAGUAAUCGCGCAUCAGCCAUGGCGCGGUGAAUACGUUCCCGGGCCUUGUACACACCGCCCGUCAAGCCAUGGGAGCCGGGGGUACCUGAAGUGCGUAACCGCGAGGAGCGCCCUAGGGUAAAACUGGUGACUGGGGCUAAGUCGUAACAAGGUAGCCGUACCGGAAGGUGCGGCUG
rnacentral:rRNA from 1 species